rnacentral:rRNA from 1 species
UACAGAGGGGGCGAGCGUUGUUCGGAAUUACUGGGCGUAAAGGGCGCGUAGGCGGCCCGCUAAGUCGAACGUGAAAUCCCCAGACUCAACCUGGGAACUGCGUCCGAUACUGGCAGGCUUGAAUCCGGGAGAGGGAUGUGGAAUUCCAGGUGUAGCGGUGAAAUGCGUAGAUAUCAGGAGGAACACCUGUGGUGUAGACGGCUUACUGGACCGCAACUGACGCUGAAACACGAAAGCGUGGGUAGCAAACAGG